rnacentral:misc_RNA from 1 species
GGAAAGCCUGUGCGCCGCUGCUGAACACCUCGAUGUCGCCGCCGGGAUGCCUCUCGGCCGUCUCCACCGCCCAUCUAUCGUCGCUGCCGCCGCCGCCGAUGGCGGCGGUCGGCCUCGGCGGGGCGAUGACCGGGUGCAGCCGCCUUCUAUCGCCGCUCCACCGGAGGAGCAGCAGGAAGAGACACGUGGUUCGGAUGGCGCCGGAGGAGGAGAAGAUCACCCGCCGUUCCCCUCUCGAUUUCCCCAUCGAAUGGGAACGCCCUAAGCCAGGCCGGAGACCCGAUAUAUUCCCGCAGUUCAGCCCGAUGAAGUCACCACUGCCCACUCCACUGCCAGCAGAUCCUCCUGAGGAGGACGAGGAGGAGGAAGAAGAAGAGAAGAAAGAGGAAGAAGAG